rnacentral:lncRNA from 1 species
ACAAAAGCCCGCCCAAACCCAUCCUCGUAUAUACAAACCUAACCCUAAGACGCUUCUUCCCCAAUCUCUCUCCCCCUCCGCCGCCACCCCCUCGUCUUGUCACUCCUCCUAGAUCGGCUCCUCUCUCGCUCCUCCAUGAUCCCCACCUAGAUUCGCUCCUCUCUCCCUCCUCUAUCCCCACCUAUAUUCACUCCUCUCUCCCUUCUCCUCGAUGCUGAUUUUUUAGAGCAAGCAGAUUGGAUCGAUGGUGACCGCAUGAGCGUGCCGCUGCCGCAUGGAAUCGCCUUGCCGCUGCGUGGAGUCGCUUUGUCGCCGCCGCCCGUUGCCACUUGCCAGCAUGGUAACUUCGUCCCAACCACUGCUCACCUCCAGGUCCUCUCGUGUUGCUGCUUGUCGUGGUCAUCUUGUCCGCUGGGCGCUUGCUUCCUACUGACAUACUACAUGUGUGCUUGCUGCUACCGUAGUACAUGCAUGCUUGUUGUUUCCGUAGUACAUAUGUGGUUGCUAGGUGAUGGGCUGCGUGCUUGCGUGAUUGAUUUCCUUCAUCUUGCAGGUGCACACAUGCACCUAACAUCCAGGGAAGUCCACCAUCUGAACCACCACGACCAUCCCUCUUGGCUAGCACAAGCAGCGCCAUCGGCACUUCGGAAGUGAAGGUAAGCAGCCAAGAACUGGAGAAAAUCCUGAAUUUGUGUAAGUGUUUUCUUAUUGAUACAAUUUUUUUAUUUGUAUUUGUCGUAUAUAUGGUUUAAAAACACUAAAAGAAAACAUAUCUUCCUAAAAGAUAUGUCUGCAGAUGAAGACAAGUUGUGUGGUAGUUCACGUUCAGUCCUUAACAAAAAAUUAGACCAUGCCAGUGAUGAAUAAAGCAUAUUAGUGUUCUUCUCCUUCCUGUUGUUAUAAAUCGGGCAUAUCUCUAUAUAUUUUUAUAUUAUUUACCACUUUACUCCCUGGCAUAGUUGCAAACUAAUAAUUGACGUUGUGUAUGCUCUUCACUGAGAAGUGGCUGUUUGAUACAGUCUACCAGUGUGCAUUUUUAUUUGCUGUAGAACUUGUCUAAGUUAGAUGUACUCAUCUUUGUUGCUAUUAGGAUCAAGUAUCAAUGCUUACAUUCGGUAAAAAAAAUCUCCUUCGGCUUUAGUGUAUUGUUAAGGUUCUGAUAAAUUCAGAUAUACUACCUCCAUUUCAAAAUAUAAUGCGUUUUUUGUAGGCUAAACUGAGGUAGUAUUUCUUAGUUUUGACAAUGCCUCGCUUAAUACUGAUCGGUAAUCAUGAAUUUGUUUUCCUGCAUAUAUCUGUACAUGUUCCUAUCUGAAUUAAUGCUGGACGUUUUUUGGUGUGUGCGUGUGAUAUUCAGGUCACAUUUUCGCAAUAUAUGUUGGUUUAUGGUCUUGUUUGAAACUUAUGCAAUUCGACAUACCACAGCAAGCUUUAGAAGUAACUUCCUUCCAUCUACAAAAGCUGAGAGGGAGGGGGAGAGGCACACAAUUUUACCACCGAAUAAGCUGCUCCCUGACCUGGAGGGGGAGGCACAAGAUUCACCACUGAAUAAGCUAAUACACUCAACAUGAUUGAGGCUCUAAAAUGAAAUAAUGAAAGUGUAGCAAUCUGCAGCUUUGGAGAUUUAGAGGCACACAAAGAUAAUGAGAUAGUGUAAUAAUCUGCAGCUUCGAAAAUUUUGAUUUUUGUUUGCAGCAAAUAACAAUAUUGGUGUUUUCAUUGCACUUUGGCCUCCAAUGAAAUUCUUCUUUGUGUCAAUAAUAAUUCUCUAUCAAAAGUUUUAGUUUAACAGUAUACUAAUUUUUGUCAGUUGCUUUGCCCAGGUCUAUCUCAUGGACACCCAGGUUGAUAUACAGUUUUCUCAACACCCAGAUUUGUGGAGCAUGAUGUUGGACAAUUAGGAUGGGACUGCAUACCUUUAGAUUUUGGUGCUGAGAUUUGUGUGCCCCUCGCUACAUGUAAGCCACGUUUAUGAUGUUGAUCCUUCUGCUAUGGAUUGUAGUUUGGUUCCACUACUAGCGCCUUGAAGACUAAGGAUGGUGUUGUCCUGGCUGUGAGAAACGUAUCACCUCACCACUGCUGGUAAUUUUGCAUCUCCACUUAUUGCUUUAUUAUCGUUCCAGUCGAAUACAAAUUCUUCAGCUAUAUAUUUAACUGUUGAUGAUCUCUUGUGGCUGCAAGAGAAAUGUAUGGGCAAAAUGUCAACAUUCUUAGAUAGGUCAAUUGCCGUGUCCUUCCUAGCCUUUUGAUUUUAUUUUUACUAUAUCUUUUUUGUUCUAAGUUUCAACUAUCAAGUCUCAACAAGAUGUGGACAUUGUUCUUCAGGGCAUAUAUGCUUUCUUAAUGCUCUAACAGGGUAGAUUCUGUGGUUGGUUAACCUAAUUUAUGAAAAUCGGUGGUACCCAAAGGCGCCAUUCAAUAAGUAUUGAAAAGUUGAUCCAUUCCUACUCACUGCACUGGAAAAAUAUUGUACAACUGGACAACUGUAGCUGUUUGUCGCUGUUUGUCUUCUCAACGCAUAACUAUCCCUUCUUGUAUCUUCAUAACAUAUCAUCAGGGAGCAUUGGACAUAUGACAAUUGAAUGAAUCUUGUGCACUGCAUUAUGUAUUGUCCCCCUUUGUGAGACAAGUGUUUUUCUAUUUCUUGUUUGGACGAUAUGCAAAGUACUUAGCAUUUCAUUGUUUACUCAUAACUUGGUUGUGUUAAUUAAUACAGAUCUACAUGAUACUUAUAUGUAGCAAAUACUAUGCUAGUGUAAGAUCUAAGAAUUUUGGACAACACGCGAUUUAUUUUUAAAUUUGUUGCACUUCUCUUACAUCUAUCUAUUCAUAUCUACAAAUAUCUAACGGUCUUGUAAAUAUGCUAGGUAUGAUUGCAUAGCGGGCUACUUGGUGCUGCCCAUCACAAUCUGCAUGACGUGAUAGAUAGCGUCCAUCAGGAGUGUCGAUGGCAAGAACAUGAAUAACUACUUCAAUAGUUUGAAUGUACAGUUUGUGUGAACUGGAUUGUACUAUUUCUUAAUUUUUUGAGUGAUAUUUUGUUAAGCUAUGUUGUAAAAUUACCAUUGUAUGGAGGUUUUUGUAAACUACUAUAUUGUAGAUACCUCUCGAUGGUUGAAUGAAACUUUGGAAAUACUUUUGUCUUGGGCCAAAGUUUGCAUUAUGAUUUCUAUAAUGCAUUAUGCUUAAAAAUGUACUUGGUGAAAAUUAGGCCG